rnacentral:rRNA from 1 species
UACACUCCUGCGGGAGGCAGCAGUGGGGAAUUUUGGACAAUGGGCGAAAGCCUGAUCCAGCAAUGCCGCGUGUAUGAAGAAGGCCUUCGGGUUGUAAAGUACUUUCAGCGGGGAGGAAGGCAAUACGGUUAAUAACCGUGUUGAUUGACGUUACCCGCAGAAGAAGCACCGGCUAACUCCGUGCCAGCAGCCGCGGUAAUACGGAGGGUGCAAGCGUUAAUCGGAAUUACUGGGCGUAAAGCGCACGCAGGCGGUCUGUCAAGUCGGAUGUGAAAUCCCCGGGCUCAACCUGGGAACUGCAUUCGAAACUGGCAGGCUUGAGUCUUGUAGAGGGGGGUAGAAUUCCAGGUGUAGCGGUGAAAUGCGUAGAGAUCUGGAGGAAUACCGGUGGCGAAGGCGGCCCCCUGGACAAAGACUGACGCUCAGGUGCGAAAGCGUGGGGAGCAAACAGGAUUAGAUACCCUUGUAGUCCCAUGA